GGUGCAAAUGACGAUGAAAAAGACAGGGACAUCAGAUCCUCCAUUUGGAGUAUGAUGAUUUGUCAAGAUGGGAAUCUCUCUGAUGCACA